rnacentral:rRNA from 1 species
UACGGGGGGGGUAAGCGUUGUUCGGAAUUACUGGGCGUAAAGGGCUCGUAGGCGGCCAACUAAGUCAUACGUGAAAUCCCUCAGCUUAACUGGGGAACUGCGUGUGAUACUGGAUGGCUUGGAUUUGGGAGAGGGAUGCGGAAUUCCAGGUGUAGCGGUGAAAUGCGCAGAUAUCAGGAGGAACACCGGUGGCGAAGGCGGGACUCUGGGCCGAUACUGACGCUGAGGAGCGAAAGCGUGGGGAGCGAACAGG